CCGUCCCGCCGCCCCCGCCCGACGGGGUGCAGCAGGCGCGAAACCUUUACACUGCACGACAGUGCGAUAGGGGGAUCCCAAGUGCACAGGCAUAGCGCCUGUGCUUUUCGGCACCCUAAGGCGGUGCCAGAAUAAGGGCUGGGCAAGACCGGUGCCAGCCGCCGCGGUAAUACCGGCAGCCCAAGUGAUGGCCGAUCUUAUUGGGCCUAAAGCGUCCGUAGCUGGCCGCGCAAGUCCAUCGGGAAAUCCACCUGCUCAACAGGUGGGCGCCCGGUAGAAACUGCGUGGCUUGGGACCGGAAGGCGCGACGGGUACGUCCGGGGUAGGAGUGAAAUCCCGUAAUCCUGGACGGACCGCCGAUGGCGAAAGCACGUCGCGAGAACGGAUCCGACAGUGAGGGACGAAAGCCAGGGUCUCGAACCGGAUUAGAUACCCGGGUAGUCCUGGCCGUAAACAAUGUCUGCUAGGUGUGGCUCCCACUACGAGUGGGUGCUGUGCCGUAGGGAAGCCG
rnacentral:rRNA from 1 species